GUGAAUCAUCGAAUUUUUGAACGCAAAUUGCACUCUCUUCGGAGAGUAUGCGUGUUUGAGGGUCAGCCUAUAAAAAUCGACAUCGUUGCUGCUUCUCGGAUGCGUGCGUCGUAAAUUGGGUCAUCUUACAGCCUUUUUAGUUCAGCGAAUUAGCAUUUUCAUUUGGUUGCAUGAACGUUUCUA
rnacentral:misc_RNA from 1 species